CAGCCGUAAACAAUGUGCGUUAGGUGUGUCGGUAACCACGCGUUACUGAUGCGCCGAAGAGAAAUCGUGAAACGCACCACCUGGGAAGUACGGUCGCAAGGCUGAAACUUAAAGGAAGUUGGCGGGGGAGCACCACAACAGGUGGAGCCUGCGGUUUAAUUGGAUUCAACGCCGGACAGCUCACCGGAUAAGACAGCUGAAUGAUUGUCAAUCUGAAGGUUUUACAUGACUAGCUGAGAGGUGGUGCAUGGCGUCAGGUGACU
rnacentral:rRNA from 1 species